rnacentral:rRNA from 1 species
UACGUAGGGGGCAAGCGUUGUCCGGAAUUAUUGGGCGUAAAGAGCGUGUAGGCGGAUAUUUAAGUCAGAUGUGAAAACUGGCGGCUCAACCGUGAGACUGCAUCUGAUACUGGAUAUCUUGAGGGUAAGAGAGGGCAGUGGGAAUUCCUAGUGUAGCGGUGAAAUGCGUAGAUAUUAGGAGGAACACCAGUGGCGAAGGCGACUGCCUGGCUUACAACUGACGCUGAGACGCGAAAGCGUGGGGAGCAAACAGG